GGUGUGGCCACAGUUUCCCAGAGAACUAUAACAGCUGAGUCCCCCAAAGGCCUAGUGUAGACCUUCAGGCUGGCCUUGAAUUCCAACCCAUUCAAAGGGGAUUACAUCUCCAGAAACAGGAAGCUGGAGUCUGGGAUGAACACUGCACGCUCCACCAGGCUGGACUUGUACCAGGAAUGUCGGUUUGGUUCAGCACAAGGAAGACCAUAAAUAGAACAAGUCAUAUUAAUAAUGCUUAUACUCCAAAGAAAUCUUUUUAGGCGAUCAGAAAAAUGUUACUGGAGCUUGGAUCAACAACACUGUAGAGCCAUGAACUUUGUAAGAAAAAUGUCUGCUAUACAUACCUCCUUCUUCUCUUUAGAGAGGUGGUAGCCUACAGGUGCAGAAUGAGGCAUACAUUAUCAGAUAUAACCAAUGUGUCCAUUUGUUUUCUUGAACUGUUUUUUGUUACAAAGGAAGAUUUUACUGGAGUCAGGGGACUCAUCUGGAAGUGACAAAGAAAAUAUAUCAGUAAAAUUUUUUUAAAUGACUGUUAUAAAUGUCGGUGCCUGGUCUCACAGAGAAGAGUGAUCUCUGUCAGGUGGGAGGGCCCACACUGAACAUGAAAGGAGCUUGUCUACAAGGAAGGAGACACAAGAAAAUCUAAAAAAGAGAAUAUCUGGGGAAGAUUGGAGGUAAGGGCAGAGAGCUGGUAACUGCUCAGAUCAGCCUCCAAAGGGGCAGGUCUUCUUUUGGGAGCCAGGGAGACUUCUCAUGGCAUUCAAGCUAAACGUGGAAAAAUAUUUGUGUGGACUUGGGGACUGGGCGUGAGGUAUACCGUUUGUCUGGGGAAUGUAAUAGAACCUCCCUCUUGCAAACCAGUCAUUUGAUUUUGUAGUUGCCUUCUAAGUUUGUGCCUGGAGGGACGGCCUUUCCCACAUUAUCUACACUAGGACCCUUGGAUUCUCUUCCGACGGCCCGGGGGCUGAGUAGUCACCUUGUGAGCCAUCCUAGAAACUCUCCCCCGCAGAACCGUAAAACUCAAGCUUGGGGAUCACUUAGGUUUUCCCUCAGAAGAGGAAGCCCCUACGGGAGCAGAGUGCCCCUAAAGUUAUAAAUGCAGGUCCUCGAGGGGAGAUGCUGCUCCUGGCUCUCGAGGGGAGAGAGCCCAGACUCUCAGAUCUCACAGUGACCCCUAGCGUUACCCAUCAGUGGCAUUCAACCAGCAUUUAUAGAGCCCCAUAAGGCUGGCAAGGCAACUUAUCUGUUUUCUCAUUGGACCCUCACCAUCACGCUGGAAGGUAAAUGCUAUUAUUAUCCCACUUUAUUGAUGAAGAAA
rnacentral:lncRNA from 1 species